rnacentral:tRNA from 1 species
CAGAUUAUAGCUUAUACUUAAAGCUUUUUAGUUACAUUAAUAGGAAAAUUAAAUAUUUAUUCUGA